rnacentral:lncRNA from 1 species
GCAGUGUGCCUUUGGCAGAGUAACUGACCAUCCAACACGAGCCCAUUCCCCAAAGUCUCGAGUCGUCCCGUCUGCUGGGUCCUGAUGAUGCCUUCGGCCUCCGCCUGCUCUGGUGUCAGCCGGCUUCCUCAGGCUUCCUCGGGCUGCUGCUGGGAGAGAAACGCAUAAACACAUUCUUUAACAGGUCUUGAUCCCCGCCCAAAUGCUCACUCCCGACAAGGAUUUCCCGGGCUGCUAACCUUGAAUCUGCGCCCCAUCUCUUUGUAUUCUAGUGCUGCCUUCUCCACACAAAUUAUACAAUUAGGUCGUUUACAUGCUUGAUCAGAAAGAUUGCCUCAGUUUACCUAAAUGUAACCCCCCCCCCCCCCCCGACAAACUACAGAAGUAGAAAAGCAGAAACAACGUCCACAUCGCAGGUUAUUCAGGACUUUCUCAAUCUGGAAGUGGUCCUGCCUCCUGCUUGUGGCUACAAAUUAAUGCUGUUUAGCACCAAGUCACAUUCUAGCCAGAUAUUCUGUCACCCCGAAUCCAGAACCGCACUGGAAUGACUGCCUGGCCACUUCAGCCUCCAAACUGUUUUUAGAGUCAAAUUUCAGUUUCACUAUUGAAAUGGAUUCCAAGAAUUCUCACGAUUACAAAUGCUUCCAAUUCUCCUUCAUUUUAAAACCUCACACACACCGCACACACUGGGGAUUUUGCAACGGUUUUCCUUCCCCUUUAACUACCGAACAGCCCUAACCAGGCUCAGAUAGCUUAGGCUUUUUACUCCUAUUAACUGUUGCCUAGUAUGGAAACAAUGUGGCAACUGAGUCAGCUAAUGUAAAGCCUGUAGAUAAAAAUUGUUAAAAUCAUUCUCCUGAUUGGCCUGGGUUGUCUCCUUAAAUUAGUGUUGGUUCUCCUGAGUAUUUAUUCACUGGCAACAAGGGCUCAUUUACCAUUGAGCUUCGGCCGAAAUCUAUAGGUGACUGGAGUGGCUUUCCCGGUCACGAGGCUGCUCUUCUUAUCCCCCGUUUCCUGCCUCGAGGCUCCAGAGUGUACAAACUUGACGGGUACUGGGGAGCCAUUCAGUGUUCUAGCACAAGCUUGUUUAUUAAAACUGCUGCCGAGAAUCUGCUCUUCAUGUGCUGGCCUCCCCCUUUGGGCCCUGAUGUUUUGCCAGCUUUUCCUCAUGACUCAGGACAUUCAUGCAUUGCUGGUAGAGUUGGGAAUUGAUCCACCCAUUCUGCAGGGCAAUUUGGAACUAUGCCCAAAGGGCGAUAAAAGACUGUCUGCCCUUUGACCCAGCCAUAGCACUGCUGG